rnacentral:rRNA from 1 species
CCUACGGGAGCCUGCAGUGGGGAAUAUUGCACAAUGGGCGCAAGCCUGAUGCAGCCAUGCCGCGUGUGUGAAGAAGGCCUUCGGGUUGUAAAGCACUUUCAGCGGGGAGGAAGGCGUUAAGGUUAAUAACCUUGUCGAUUGACGUCACCCGCAGAAGAAGCACCGGCUAACUCCGUGCCAGCAGCCGCGGUAAUACGGAGGGUGCAAGCGUUAAUCGGAAUUACUGGGCGUAAAGCGCACGCAGGCGGUCUGUCAAGUCGGAUGUGAAAUCCCCGGGCUCAACCUGGGAACUGCAUUCGAAACUGGCAGGCUAGAGUCUUGUAGAGGGGGGUAGAAUUCCAGGUGUAGCGGUGAAAUGCGUAGAGAUCUGGAGGAAUACCGGUGGCGAAGCCGGCCCCCUGGACAAAGACUGACGCUCAGGUGCGAAAGCGUGGGGAGCAAACAGGAUUAGAUACCCGAGUAGUC